GCAUAUCUAGAGUGUCAGCAGCAAGGUCACCAAUUCCACAGUCAGCUAUUUCUUCUAAUUCCAUUGACAUUUGAUUCAAAUUUUACAUUCAUCAUUAUCAAAUUUUGUUCUUUGCUUUAUUUUUAUCUUUAGUGGUCAAUUCCCAUUUUCUAACAUUCAUUUUUAUAAAAUGUCACAUGAAUUUAUUACUAGUGACAAGGAGACACAGAUUGGUGACAGAUUAUGAAGGGCAUCUGUCACUGAUGUAGCAAUUUUUCUUCUGCAGAGGCAGCAGCAUAGUCUGUGCUUCAUGCAAUCACUCACGGUUAAUAUACCAGGGUAACUGAAAUUUGAACCAUGCUGUUAGGGACUGGUGUUAUUGAAGCAAACCGUGGUAACUGAAAUCCACACAUAUCAGAACUCUGCAAAGUGAGAGCUGCCUGUAUUGUGAAAUAUUCUGCUGGAAGCCUUUUAAUGGGCCCUGAGACCUCUUAUGACUUCUUUAUUGCCCUAUUUUUGGGAAAUUCUUAGAUAGGAAAACAUCGUGUCUUAUCAAUAUUUGCUUAUAACUGUAACACAGAGUAGAUUAUAUUUGAUCACUGACUGCCUUGGAACUAUCCAAUAAAUCUUAUGUUUUACCCUCUGCCAAACAAGUUAGAUUUUGGAACAUCAAUUUAUUCUAUCUGCAAUGAAGCAAGAUCAUCUUUAGCUUCUACCUGUAAGGUUGAAACUAGUGAAACACUCCUCGCCCUUCAAGACCCAACUCAAAUGUCACCUUCUCAAUGAGCCUUUCCUGCACCCAUCAGUUAGUCACACAUCUUGAAGAACAAAGAUUCUUCUUGUUCACCUUUAUGUCCUUUGUACCCUGCACAGUGCCUAGCCCAUAUGAGAUGCACAAAUAUUUCUUGAGUAAUGAUAAUUUAUCUCAAACUUUUUUAAAAAGUGUAUUUUUCUAGUCAAUAAUUGGAUGCUUCCCAGCAUGACAUUGUAAGUAAAAGGCCCAAAAGGAAUAGUAGCCAAGAGACACAGUUUGAUGGCCUAGCAUUUACAUCCAAGAGUACCAGAAUCUAGUUCCAAAUACUGGAGGGCCAUCUUGGGUGUGAUGGUCAGGACAGACUGGGGAAAGCCCCACUGAGUGGGCGUAUGAUCUGCAUAUAAAUUUUGCUGACUCACGCUGGCUUCGGUGUUUGCAGUCCUCUCAAUCCAUAAUGGAUAACACAUGGGGGAAGAGAGUUAUGAAAAAAACAUAGUCAUAUGGUUCAGUGUAUAGAUCUGAGGAAAAUACCUUUUAAAUGAAAUUGAGCCAAACGUCUGUCUCACUCUGUUUGCAAAGUACACAGUACUGUAUGGACUAAUCAAACUUUAUAGCUCUCCUGUGCAAUCUUGUACAUUCCUAAAAACAUGUUUCUCCCAGAGCUGUCACUUGUUGGAAAUGUGUCACUGACCAAACAGUGUUUUCUAUACUACACAGAAUGAAAUGUAAAUAUCAUACAAAGUCCAUUUGACCGAGCUCAUGGGAAAGCAUGAAACAAUAUACAUUCCACAUUAUGUCUUUCUCUCACAAACUACACACAUGCACCACACAAAAAUCAGAAACAAAAGCAAGAAAGUAUUUGGCUCAUUGGGCAAGUUACACAACACUCAUUUCAUUAAAUUAAUUCUUUUAUCUGCAAAUCCCUACAAAUACUUAGUAAACUUCACCUGAUGAAAGGGAUUAUUGUCAUUUUACAGAAAACAAAGCAGUAAGCGUUUGUCCAAUUGCACAAUGGAACUCAGAAAAACCCAGCUUUCCUGAACCCAAAAGUUCACACAGAUGUAAAAGCUAUACAAGAGAACCAUAAGAGGCUGCAAUACAUCUUUAUAC
rnacentral:lncRNA from 1 species